rnacentral:rRNA from 1 species
CCUACGGGAGGCAGCAGGGAGGAAGAGGGGGCAAGGGGCGCGAGCCUGAACCAGCAAAGGCGCGUGAGGGAAGACGGCCCGACGGGUUGUAAACCUCUUUUGCCGGGGAGCAACGGGCGCCACGUGUGGCGCCACUGAGAGUACCCGGAGAAAAAGCAUCGGCUAACUCCGUGCCAGCUGACGCGGUACUACGGAGGAUGCGAGCGUUAUCCGGAUUUAUUGGGUUUAAAGGGUGCGUAGGCGGAGCGUUAAGUCAGUGGUCAAAUUGAGGGGCUCAACCCCUUCCCGCCAUUGAAACUGGCGCUCUUGAGGGGAAGAGAAGUAUGCGGAAUGCGUGGUGUAGCGGUGAAAUGCAUAGAUAUCACGCAGAACCCCGAUUGCGAAGGCAGCAUGCCGGCUUCCUACUGACGCUGAAGCACGAAAGCGUGGGGAUCGAACAGGAUUAGAUACCCCUGUAGUC